AGAAUCCCUGCUUAAAGGAGCAAGGUGUUAAAAUGUAAACUAACUGUGAAGUGUAUUCCUGGCUUUCUAGCGUCACUUCUCUUCCGUUUUUGCUGGUCAAACAUUUUAUGAUUAUUUGCAAAUGAUCUGAAGAUUUUAGACUCUUAAUUUGGGGGUGUCUGUGUGUGGCGGCUGUGGUGAGGCGGCACGGAGGUGUGAGGAGUCAGAGCUGUGGGAGGAAGUGGAGACGGAGAGAGAGAUGAAGAUAUGAGGAAAGAGGGGUCAACACCUGACGCUCAGAUGAAGACCGAUGCAGUUACACAAGUAAACAGGUUCAUCUGACUCCUUAGAAUGAGACAUUUUGCCAAAAUAAUCGGCUGAAUAUUGUGAAGUUGUAUUGAAAGCACCUGCUGCUGUGUCCACCAGCCGACUUGCCGGGAUGCUCCCUGGAGCCCACUGGAAUAAACUUUCUCCUUAUGGCCGGCAACAAGAACCUGUUUUAGUCAGUGACGUGGAACUGAAUCAUGCAAACGUGCUGCAUUUAGGCCAUCCUAAUCUUCUCUGGGGUCAGCGGGCUACUGAGCCUCAUGGGCCCAGACAGGCCUCUCUCCUGCCGUGCUGCACUCACCGCGUCACGGAGAGCGAAGAACACGGAGCAGCCCAGGAACAAGGCAGACUCUCCCAGACCCUGGCAGGGAAACAAGCCCAGCAGACUGUGACUGUCUUUCUCUCACUAUGUAUAUAUGUGUACAUAUGUAUAUGCACAUAUGUAGUGUAUAUGCACAUAAUAUCAUAUACUACAUAAAUUUUUUUAAAGUAAUUUCAUAUUUUGACCCAGUAUUCCCAGUCUUAGAAAUCUAGCCUAAGGAAAGAAUCUCAAAUACAAAAAGCCUCAUAUAAGCAUAAAGAUAAUUACUGCAAGAUGAUAAAUCCGUUAUAACCUGAUAGCAACAGUAGUUCAUGUUAGUCUCCAGGAUUUGGAAUAUUCAAAAUUUUUUAUCAUGUUGUUAAAUUACUUUAUAAUUAAAAUGUUUCAUAGGGAUUUUUCUUCUGUAGUCCUGGUAAAAACCCCAACCAAGAGAAGGAUGUAGCCCUCCUGCCGCCUCACAGGCAUCACAUAAACGUGAGUUUGUCCCCAGGGCACAGCUUACCUUAGACGAAUACAGGGUAUUCGAGUUUUGAGAUGGAGGCAAGAAAGAAAUGUGCAAUUCCGUGGGGAUGUCACAGACGGCAGGAAUUUUAUAUUGGCUUGGACCACGAGUGUACAGAAGGCCCUGAGGAGAAUAAUCCAGUUCCUCUGUGGUAUAAAGCCCCAUGCCUUGAAUAAACGCACCUUCAAUCUGAGCCAAAGGAAAAAAAAAAAAAAAAGGAGAAUUGCCAUGUAUGAGAAAAUACAGUUAACAGUAAGUAGCAUUUCAACUUGAUGCUGUUCGUUGGAAUUUUUAAAUUACAGUCAGGUGGGUUUUCAGGGUGUCUUGGAGCAUGUCGCUGAAAGUUUACCUAAAAGCAUUUCUAAACAUCCCAUGCAGUGCUAAGUUCAAAGUCCCACGACUUGGGUUCUAGUCUUGGUUUGGCCAUUAAAAUGAUAGCUUGAGAGGAGUCCUCCCAGAGCCUGUAGCCCAAACGCCUUGUUUUUCUGCCUGUGAGGCAGAUGCAACCCUCCGGUUAUGUGUCUGCAGACCCCAGCACACUAGCGGAAGCUGGAAUCCCAUCAUCUCAUCCCACCUCCUCGCUCCCAAGCUGGCCGGCCUCACAUCUCUGGGCUCUGAGAUUCUUCCCAGUCUCAGACGACACAGUGACAUGACUGGCGAGGACAUUACAUUAUGCUCUAAGAUGGAGGCGGUGAGCUGAACUGACCACCGGUUCCAGGCAGGUAAAGCAAGUGUGUGACGGUGCCAGGUGGGUCCUCGACUUGUGCCUUAUGGAAAUGCAGGUCCCCUCCUGGCAAGUUUUCUGUUUGCAAGAGAAGCUUCGUAUUUGUGAUUUUCCAACCUUGUCAAUUAUUUCAAAUUUAAAUUUUAAAAUGUCUGUGGGUAGAAUUCAGCCCACAGGCUGCCUAUCAAUAGCUACUGCUCUGAUUAUUUGAAGUUUGUUGUCCCAACACAACCUUAAGCUCCUUGAAGCUGCAGCCCACCUUAUGGCGAAGGCUCAGCCCUCGGCACGAACUCUACCCGUACCCCAAAGGUCGGGGCUCCCUGGUCACCUCCAGGCCUGGUCUUGCCUCACUCAGGUUCCCAAUCGCAGACUGUAUGUUUCUUCAAAAAGUACCUAAAAACACCUUUUUUCCUUUCCUUUUUAAACAGUAAGAAAUGUGAGUUCUGCAGCUGGCCUGAAUGGAAAGUUUGACUAAAGGGGUAGAAAUAUAAGAUGAUGAAUAAACCUGACGGAAUGUUCCCCUGCAGACCCCACAUCAGUUUUGGCUUUUACAAACAGGAAAGCGAGGCACGUGAGUCACACAUACCUGGCCUACGUCAAGGGCUGGGUUUAUACUGCAGCCAACAUCCAUGACAAUGUCUGUCCUGAGGUUCUAGUAAUAAAAAAAACAGUUAAAAUGUUUAUUUUAAUGAAGAUAAUUUGAAACUGAGAAACAGUUCCUGCCAGGCUAGCUUUGGUAUAAAACCUUUCUUUGGGCCACAUUAUUUCAGGAGAAGAAGCAACAAAGAUUUUAUUAUGUGACUAAGUUUAUUAUGUAAAACUUUCAAAGUUAUACAAAUAUUCUUAACCAGCUUAAGCACUGUUUUUUUUCCUCUUGGAAAUAAUAGGAGAAAAAAUAUUUACUUGAUUUUAAUUCAAGCUGGGUGAUGCAACAGAUUGAGUUUAAUUCACAACAUAUGACACAGCAAAAAAUAACAUCUAUGGCCCUCCUCAUUCUUGUUGCAAAACUUCGUGGCUGGACUACAACCCAGCAUCCAGAGUCCAGCUGGCUGAGUGAUGUUUACUGAACCAUAGAGUUCAGGAUGUAUCAACAAAAAGUCUUCAAACUGUCAUAUGGUGUUCUAGGUUUUUCAGUUUCAGAGCAGAGGAGAGAAUAAAUCUGACACUACAACUUGCUCUCUGAGUUGUGUGUGUGUGUGUGUGUGUGAGAAUCUGUGUAUGCAUCUCUUCAUGGCAUCCUUAAAAGCAUAAGCAUGCUCUUAAAUGACCUAAAAAACAAGACUUAAAAGUAAGAUAUCAAAAACUGUCCACUGCCCACCCUGGGCUGGCUCUUGGUGCUUGUUAGUGGAAUAUGGAUGCCUAUGAAAUUCUUCAAGAAUGUCACAGUUUGGCACUUCUCACAAGAGGUCAGGAUUGCUGGUUGUGCCACCAAUCUACAUGGAAGCCCCCGUUAGGCUGUGUUUCUCUAUUGAAGUAGUUUCCUUCCUGAUUCCAUUUAAAAGGGCCAGGUAGAUAAAGACGAGAGGCCACCAGUUGUUUUCCACUGGAAGCAACCAAACCGCCAAGGCAAACACUAAGCAUUUUCUCUCGGUAAUUGAGAGAAAUCACCCAUAGGCCCAGUGCACGGUGCUGUCCCACACCCAUCUGUCCUCAGAGAGGUGGCAUCUGUGGAAUGCAAGUGCAUCUUAAAUGCAACUUGAAGACCUUUCUGGUUGGAACUGACCUUAUGAGCCCCCGUCAGGCAGUCUAUUUCAACCUCGGAACAGGCAGCUCCAUACACAAAGUAUUCGAAGGGAUGGCCUUCGCCUUCCUCCCAGUUCAUGUCUGACUCAUAACCCCUGGAGGAAACAGGAUGAUUGAAGAGCGGUGUUAAGUGAUCAAGUCCCCGAUCACAAACUAUGAUGAUUACACAGACCCAUAUGAGUUGUGCAAACCAGAAGACUAUGCUUGUACAAUGAUAUGCCAGCACAGAACGCAUGCUCAGUAAGUCUGUUGAAUAAAUAAAUGUUUAGUUCUUCCUUAUUUAACUUGCUUUGUCUGAUAAACAUACCCCAUUACUCCUGGCCGAUGACUCCUUACUUUUGGUGGUGAGCUGCUGACUUCAGGAUCAGCCAUCUUACUGCUUUUGGCUAAUGUUGGGUCACGUAACCCUACUGUCAUCAGAUUUGGGGAAUUCAACCUGUAUCACCAAAGCCUAUUUCAAGGACUCGCCUGCUUUGUCUAUCUUUCUGGCUUCAGAAAUCAGCCUUGUAUGUGAGGGGUGAGGUCCCCAGCUCUCAUCCUUUGCUACUACUCUGGUCUCUCACUGUUGGGCUCCCCAGCUUGCUCUGUUACCAGCUACUCUUUAAGGACAUCAGAUACAUGUCAGUGGUAAGAGAGAAGCAAAGGCCAGCAGCUUGCCAGGACUCUACCCUCUCUCCUCUGCUCCCCCCAGCCUGGAGUGGGCCAUUAAGAACAUUUCCAAUGCUUGUUCCAAGAGCCAGCUGGUGCCCAGGACGCCCAUGACAACUGGCAAAGUGUCCAAACCAAAUAAGAUGCCAUAUCACCCUGCUCUCUGAUGGCUUUACUUCUCUACUAAAAUAAUUUCAUAAAAUGAUUUCCAAAUUAAGUGAGUUCCUGUUGUUUCACAUCUUGAUGUCA